AACGAACGCUGGCGGCAUGCCUAACACAUGCAAGUCGAACGAGACCUUCGGGACUAGUGGCGCACGGGUGCGUAACGCGUGGGAACCUGCCCUUAGGUUCGGAAUAACUCCCCGAAAGGGGUGCUAAUACCGGAUAAUGUCUUCGGACCAAAGAUUUAUCGCCUUUGGAUGGGCCCGCGUUGGAUUAGCUAGUUGGUAGGGUAAAAGCCUACCAAGGCGACGAUCCAUAGCUGGUCAGAGAGGAUGAUCAGCCACACUGGGACUGAGACACGGCCCAGACUACUACGGGAGGCAGCAGUGGGGAAUAUUGGACAAUGGGCGAGAGCCUGAUGCAGCAAUGCCGCGUGAGUGAUGAAGGUCUGAGAGUUGUAAAGCUCUUUUACCCGGGAUGAUAAUGACAGUACCGGGAGAAUAAGCUCCGGCUAACUCCGUG
rnacentral:rRNA from 1 species